rnacentral:rRNA from 1 species
UACGUAGGAGGCAAGCGUUGUCCGGAAUUACUGGGCGUAAAGCGCGUGUAGGUGGUGGGACAAGUCUGCUGUGAAAACCUAGGGCUUAACCCUGGGCUUGCAGUGGAUACGGGCAGACUAGAGGUAGGUAGGGGAGAAUGGAAUUCCUGGUGUAGCGGUGAAAUGCGCAGAUAUCAGGAGGAACACCGGUGGCGAAGGCGGGUCUCUGGGCAACAACUGACGCUGAGGAGCGAAAGCGUGGGGAGCGAACAGG